rnacentral:rRNA from 1 species
GGAAUAUUGCGCAAUGGAGGAAACUCUGACGCAGUGACGCCGCGUAUAGGAAGAAGUUUUUCGGAAUGUAAACUAUUGUAGACAGGGAAGAAAAAGACAGUACCUGUAAAGUAAGCUCCGGCUAACUAUGUGCCAGCAGCCGCGGUAAUACAUAGGGAGCAAGCGUUAUCCGGAUUUAUUGGGUGUAAAGGGUGCGUAGACGGGAAUUUAAGUUAGUUGUGAAAUCCCUCGGCUUAACUGAGGAACUGCAACUAAAACUGGAUUUCUUGAGUGCGGGAGAGGAAAGUGGAAUUCCUAGUGUAGCGGUGAAAUGCGUAGAUAUUAGGAGGAACACCAGUGGCGAAGGCGACUUUCUGGACCGUAACUGACGUUGAGGCACGAAAGUGUGGGGAGCAAACA